UUCACCCAGCUAUCCCUUCAUCAGCCAUUUCUACAGCAGCGGGAGAGGGGCAAGCAGGAUGCUAAUUCUCACUGUAACACAACCAGGCCCGACGUCCCUCCCUGCUCUGUGCCUGAUGGUUGAAUCCAGGCACCUUGGAGCUCUGCUGACAUCAUGGAAAAUCUUAGCUGCACAGCCACAGAGCACACACUUGCCAAUUAGCCGGGAAGCCCACAGAGGAGAGAGAGCCCCACCACUGCCCUGGAUGUUCCCCUGGACCCCUGGCAACCAAGGGCCAAAGGAAAGCUUAGCUUCUGAGCCAAGAGAACGCCCUUCCUUCUUCCUGGACAGCGAGAAACCAGUGUGGUACCAGGACAGGCACAGGAGCUGUCUUUUCCACAUGCUGGCAGUGAGAACACACAGUACCCAGAACGAGUUUCAAAACAAUAAUAAAACUCAUGAAAGCU